CUAUGGAUAAAUGGGAAUCUGAGCCACCACCAUCGCUUGAGGCAGAUACAGCAAGAACAAACAAAACAUAUCACAGUGAAGAUAUAAAAAUGCAGCAGGAGUGUGCCUCUCCACCUGUGAUUAGAAAUGGUAUCCUUCUUGGCCCAUUACUGAUGAGUUAC